CAAAAUUAAGAUAAUAAAUGUUUCAAUUCAUAAUGUUAAUGUAAAAAAAAAAGUAAGUAUAAAAAGUACAUAUUUACAUAUUCACUUAACACUUUACAAUAAUGUCCCAUUAGGUAAUGUUGGUUACAAAUAUUUCAUACAGAAAAGCAAUGCAUAAACAUACAAAUGAAUGGUCAUUGGAAAAAAAAAUAUAUCACAUUUUUAAUACAAAAAACAAGUUUUGAAAAAUGGACACUUGUUUAAGGCAGACCAUUCCAAAGAGAUGGGAUGAUUUCACAUAUAUUAGUUAAUAAAGUCUUCACUUUCUUUAUCUUCUCUUAACACCAGCUUUAUUUCAGAGGGAGGUUAGAGGGGUUUCCUCCUGAGACCGGAGAGGAACAGAUUGUGGAAUUACUAUUGGGCUACAGGAGUACUGGACCUACAGGCUUCUGGCACAUGAAGAGUCACUGGAGCAUAUGUCGCCAGCACGAUUCAUUCAUUUAAAUUUAUGGAGUGGAAGUGGGCCAGGUAGCGCACCACAGUGACUGUCAACAGCACCUCCAUCUUCACAAACUUCACGUACACCGGUCCCAUCAUCCUACCAUAUGUCCCGCGAAACACAAUUUCUAAUGGACAAGGACAGCUGUAUCAGGCCCCUAAAAUCAUUCCCACCUCUCGCCCCACUGAAGCUAUGGCCCUGCAAACACAAUGGGUCAGAGUUUUAUUUCAGCAGGUUGUCACUCAGGUAAUCAAGUGGGACCUUUCACUGCAAACCAAUCAGUCUCAGUGAGCCCUAUUUGAGCAGCAUUAGCCAUCCUUCCCCUGAGCAUUACAUCAUUCUGAGGGACAACCGAGCCAAUCAACAGCCUGGCAGGAUUACACAGCAUAUGGGCAUGUCCUGACUGUGUUGGAGAACUAAACAGCAUACAAUAAGGAGAGAGAGGCCUAACAUGACCUGUCCUGAUCCACGUCCCCAUCUAUUCACAAAGUGGUCUGUGAGCCUGCGAUGCAAAGCAAAAUGACAAUGGGAUCAGUCCGCAUUUGCAUUAUGAGCACACAAUGCAUGACACAAGCUUGCCCAGAGAGAUAUUUCUGCUCAGAAAAUAUCUGGCUUCAGAAGGAUGUGUCUGCAGUGCUCAGCAUCACUCCACUGACUCUGUCUCUUGCUUAUUAACAAACCAGCCUGUCACUUUAUAAACCCUGCUUCAGCUUUCCCUCAGACACACACACACAUACACAUCAUGAAAUACACUUAGACAAUGGCAAACUCGCAAAUUGUCCAUUUAAUUUAAGUGAAACUGUCACCGUGCACGUCAUGUCAGUCAUAUAGAGCAUGUUGAGGUAAAAACUAUUUUUAAUACAUGCAUAUUAGGGGACUUCUAUACACUAAGAUAAAUCAAAUUUAAAAUAUGACAUGAAUUUAGGCCAGCUAAUCUAUGUAUUGUGCUUUAGUUCACUUCAAAAUGUUACAGUAGGCUGUAUUAGAUAUAAUUAUCAUCAUACUUUAAAUAACAUAAUUACAAUGUUUUUAAUUAUUAGUAGGCACACUAUAUAAUUGUUGUGGUUCACAUAUUGGCUUGUUUUGAUUAAUUUUCAGCAUUAUAUCCCAAAAUGAGCUACAAAUGAGAUGAGUUUGUUUGUUUUUUUCUGCCAGUGGUGCUAUUAAGAAGAUGGGAAUGAUAACAACAAAUUUUCCUGGGUGUCUCCAAAUUCUUAGAUACCCAUAAUUAGCCAUAAAAGUGUCCCCCAUCUAGUAUGUUUAUAUUUCUCAACAUAAUGUAAUCUAGUAGUAAUAGGACAACUAAUGAACCAUAAUAUUUAAAAAUAAAAAAAUAAAAAAGAAACAGAUUAGACUGCACUGAUUAAAUAUCUUGACCCUCUUCACUUAAUCCUCAAUGUCAAAACCUGCAAUGUUUCUAACAACAGGAGCAAAGACAGCAGAAAACUACGUUUAACAUUUUAAUAUGCCUUCCAGGAUAUCUGGAAAUGUGAAUAUACAAAAAAAAAAAAAAGUAAUGACAAAACAAGAGAAUAACACCUACUCUGAAAGUUGCACACAUAACGCACAUGGAAAUGAUCUGUGCACUGAUUUGGCAAGGUUCUGUGUUUGGAUUCAGCUCCACCAUGGAUGGCUGAUGUCUGAGCAUUAUUUAUUUAUUUAUAGCAUGUGGACAAUAUUUCUUCUUCCUCUGCAGACACUGACUUCACUUUCCCAGUCUGAUAGCAUUAAAUGCCUGAAACAAACCUGAUAAAGUGGGCCUGUAUACAUUUAUAUUAAAGUAUUAAAUACUCUAUACCAGUUUACAAUAUCCACUUUAUUAGUCAAUGCAUU
ensembl:lncRNA